ACCGCCACAGACGUAUAUCCAUAUCAUUUGAGUUAAAGUCAAAGUGUGUAAACAUGAAAGUGUAUUUGUUGCUCUGUUUGAUGCUUGUUGCACUUGCAUCGACGGUUUUCGCUGGUCCAAUUGAAGCAAGUGAAUGUCCACCUGGCUAUGUACGAGUUGAGAAUCACUGCCUUCCGACUAGUCGAUGAUAUAUAAUGCUCAAGAUGUCAAAUAGUUCUGAAAGCAAGAUUUUUUUAUUAAAAUACUUGUAAUAUCCA